rnacentral:rRNA from 2 species
AGGUGCGAUCAUACCAGCACUAAUGCACCGGAUCCCAUCAGAACUCCGCAGUUAAGUGUGUUUGGGCGAGAGUAGUACUAGGAUGGGUGACCUCCUGGGAAGUCCUCUUGUUGCACCUC